rnacentral:miRNA from 1 species
GUGAGGGCAUGCAGGCCUGGAUGGGG